UACGUAGGGUGCAAGCGUUGUCCGGAAUUAUUGGGCGUAAAGGGCGCGUAGGCGGCUUUUCAAGUGACGGGUGAAAGCCCUCGGCUUAACCGAGGAACUGCCUGUCAGACUGGAAGGCUUGAGACCGGGAGAGGUGAGUGGAAUUCCCAGUGUAGCGGUGAAAUGCGUAGAUAUUGGGAGGAACACCAGUGGCGAAGGCGGCUCACUGGACCGGAACUGACGCUGAGGCGCGAAAGCGUGGGGAGCAAACAGG
rnacentral:rRNA from 1 species